UUACUGAAUAACAAGCAGUACCUGCUGGAAUGGCAGUCAGGAUUGUGUGAGGGUUUGGUACCACAUUGUGUUUAGCUUGAACAACCUUAUUUACUGCACGUAAGUCCUGGACAAAUCGGUAUACCGGUUUUCCCUCUUAGUCCAUGUUAGGUUUUUUUACUGGCAGAAUGGGAGUAUUGAAAGGAGACUUGGUGUGAACCAGCACUCCCAACCGCAGGAAUGUGGUGAUAAGACUCCGGAGGCCAAGCAGAGCUUCUUGGGGAAUGGGAUACUGACGAAUCCGAGGAAUUUCAAUGCCUGGCUUCAGGGUUAUACACACUGGCUUUGUCUGGAGAGUUCCCAAGUUUGCCCUUGAAGUGCCCCACAGGGAGAUGUUUACCUCCUGUCUGAGUCGCUCGGGACUCACCUUAUCGGAGCACGAACCCCGGGGGCCGCGGUGAAGCAGAAAAAAGGGGUGAAACACCCCGUUGGCGCUGUUCCCAGUUUGCCGCAGCCGUCCAGAGUCCAAUGUCCGAGCUAGGAGAGUCCCCGCGGAGUCGCCAGCUUUGCAGGAAGACUAUGGGGAGAUCUCAGCACAUUGCCUGUAAACUCCAAUCCCGCUGCGUGCAGGGACAGCGACAAAGGCGGCUUUUAUUCAAAGUGUGACCUGCUCAUGGAAGUGAAAUAAGCGCCAAAAAACCCAACCCACGAGUUUUAAGCAGGCCGCCUGAAGCGCCCAUCCGCUGUGGAACUCCCGCUGUCCCGGGAGCAGCAGGGCCCGAGCGCUCCCGCUAGCCCGGGGCUGCCCGCAGGGUCAGGCUUGUGUCCAACGCAAAAAACAGAGUGAGCCGCCAGGAGCCCCCGCCCCAGUACAGCAGCAGCUGGGGGCCUCAAGCUCCGCUCCCUUCCGGGCAGGAGCCGCACCGGGGCGUGCAGCUGCUGU